GGGAUGAGGAUGAGGCAGUAGAAACUUCAUAUCCAACACUUGAUCUGAGGAAUUUGUUUCCGGGUAAUUUCAUCGUUUUGCUUCUGAAAUUAU